rnacentral:rRNA from 1 species
UAGGGAAUCUUCGGUAAUGGGGGCAACCCUGACCGAGCAACGCCGCGUGAGUGAAGAAGGUUUUCGGAUCGUAAAGCUCUGUUGUAAGAGAAGAACGUGUGUGAGAGUGGAAAGUUCACACAGUGACGGUAACUUACCAGAAAGGGACGGCUAACUACGUGCCAGCAGCCGCGGUAAUACGUAGGUCCCGAGCGUUGUCCGGAUUUAUUGGGCGUAAAGCGAGCGCAGGCGGUUUAAUAAGUCUGAAGUUAAAGGCAGUGGCUUAACCAUUGUUCGCUUUGGAAACUGUUAAACUUGAGUGCAGAAGGGGAGAGUGGAAUUCCAUGUGUAGCGGUGAAAUGCGUAGAUAUAUGGAGGAACACCGGUGGCGAAAGCGGCUCUCUGGUCUGUAACUGACGCUGAGGCUCGAAAGCGUGGGGAGCAAACAGG